rnacentral:lncRNA from 1 species
AAAUGAAAUGGAUAUGCAAUUAAAUAGUUUAAUUGAAGACUGGUCAAAGAUUAAUUAAAUUAGUUAAUUAAUUUUACGAAAGGUUCGUGCCCAUUAUGUUUAAGUUGUAUGACAAUUAAAACAAAAUGGGUAAAUUAGCCCAAUAACAAGGUAAGGCCAGCCAUUAGGGUGAAUGGAGCAAACUUGGAUUAAUUACAAGUUUGCCACUCACUUGUAAUGAAGUAUAAAAGCAACUUUAUAGCUUUAUUUUCAUUAAGGAUUUUCUUUGAGGCAAAGAGGUGAAACAUUUUCUCUCUUUCUCUCUACAAAGAGGCCGGCCACUUAGAGGAGAUUUAGCUAGCAAUCUUUUCUUCUCUAAGUCAUCCAUUUCAUCUUCACACCUCACCCUUGGUGUGGAGACUUAGAGACACCAAACCUUUGGUGUUUUGGAGAUCCUUUCCUCACAUCCUCAAGGAGCAAAGGAGCACUAAAAGGGGAAAAUCACAAGCAAGAUUCAAGUAGCUUGGAGGUGACUUGAAGGCCCUUCACUUGGGUGAAUCCCUUGUGUAUACAAGGAUGAGCUUCAAGGGUAAAGAAACUCUAAAUCUUUACUU